rnacentral:rRNA from 1 species
GUGGGGAAUAUUGGACAAUGGGGGGAACCCUGAUCCAGCCAUGCCGCGUGUGUGAAGAAGGCCUUAUGGUUGUAAAGCACUUUAAGCGAGGAGGAGGCUACCGAGAUUAAUACUCUUGGAUAGUGGACGUUACUCGCAGAAUAAGCACCGGCUAACUAUGUGCCAGCAGCCGCGGUAAUACAGAGGGUGCAAGCGUUAAUCGGAUUUACUGGGCGUAAAGCGCGCGUAGGUGGACAAUUAAGUCAAAUGUGAAAUCCCCGAGCUUAACGUGGGAAUUGCAUUCGAUACUGGUUGGCUAGAGUAUGGGAGAGGAUGGUAGAAUUCCAGGUGUAGCGGUGAAAUGCGUAGAGAUCUGGAGGAAUACCGAUGGCGAAGGCAGCCAUCUGGCCUAAUACUGACGCUGAGGUGCGAAAGCAUGGGGAGCAAACAGGAUUAGAUACCCUGGUAGUCC